GUUUAUGACAUAUACUACAGCCAGCCAUAAGGGGGAUAUCGAGAUGUUUUGGCUUCACUUUUGGGGAGCUCUCAUGUCCCUUCCCUGGAUGGAAUCUUGAAUGGAGCCCUGCUGGUUACUCCAAGGUGGACUCACUGGCUAUGGAACUCACACACACCCAUCUGGUACCAUCCCUCUGAGCCCAGGCUGAGGUUGGCAGGGACCAUCUAGUGGUUAUCAGAGGACACACAGCUUCUGCAACACUUGCAUAACGACAACCUUGUUCAGUGUGUUUCUUCUUUACUAAUGGAGUCAGAAGUAUGUCAUGCGCUAUUUAUCCCUCAGCUACACAUUCAA